rnacentral:rRNA from 1 species
UAGAGUUUGAUCCUGGCUCAGGAUGAACGCUAGCGGCAGGCUUAAUACAUGCAAGUCGAGGGGCAGCACGGGUAGCAAUACUUGGGUGGCGACCGGCGCACGGGUGNCGUAACACGGUAUGUAAUCUGCCCUUAACAGGGGGAUAGCCCGGAGAAAUCCGGAUUAAUACCCCAUAGUAAUAUGGAUCGGCAUCGAUUUAUAUUUAAAGCUCCGGCGGUUAAGNGAUGAACAUGCGACUGAUUAGCUAGUUGGUGAGGUAAUGGCUCACCAAGGCGACGAUCAGUAGGGGUACUGAGAGGUUAAACCCCCACACUGGUACUGAGACACGGACCAGACUCCUACGGGAGGCAGCAGUAAGGAAUAUUGGACAAUGGAGGCAACUCUGAUCCAGCCAUGCCGCGUGCAGGAAGAAGGCGCUAUGCGUUGUAAACUGCUUUUGUACCAGAGAAAAUCACUGUACGUGUACGGUGUUGAUAGUAUGGUAAGAAUAAGCAUCGGCUAACUUCGUGCCAGCAGCCGCGGUAAUACGAAGGAUGCGAGCGUUAUCCGGAUUUAUUGGGUUUAAAGGGAGCGUAGGCGGUCUUAUAAGUCAGUGGUGAAAUCUCGUUGCUUAACAACGACCGUGCCAUUGAUACUGUAGGACUUGAGUACAGUUGCCGUUGGCGGAAUGUGUCAUGUAGCGGUGAAAUGCAUAGAUAUGANCACAGAAACACCCGAUUGCGAAGGCCAGCUGACGAAANCUGUAA